AGACAGAAACUGUGAGAUGGGGAAGCCACAGAAAGAGCACAUGGAAGGGUUUGGGGGUGGGCGUGGUGAAGCAUAUAACAUAGAGACAGAAGUGAGGGUCACAGGGAAAGACAGAGAACCCAGAGGGACAGAGACAGAUGCAGACAGGAGGAAGGGAGAGAGACAGGCAGGCGGAGAUGUGGAAAGGCACGCAAACAUGCCCUCUAAGGAUUGCAGAAGGAUUUGGUUUGUGUGUGAGAGAGCUCUCAGCUUUGAUUGCUCCUAGGAAGAGACCUUGGAUGGUAUCAGCAAAUCAGACAAGAAACUGGAAUUAUCAGAGUGAAGUGACAAGUUUAGAGCCACCUAGCUCAUGGUGAUGGAUCUGGUCUGGAUGCUGGCCCACAUGCCGAUCUGGUUCAUGGUGACAGAUCUGGUCUGGAUGCUGGACCACAUGCCGAGCUAGUCCCUGGUGACAGAUCUGUUCUGGAUGCUGGACCACAUGCCUAGGUACCCCAUAACUCUGGAGGGCGGAACACAGAGAUGCCUAAAAUUCAUCAGGGAUAUGAGAAAGUAUUUUUAAAUUCAUCAGCUUUAGGGGACUGGAGAGACGGCUCAGUAGUUAGAAAGCACUUGCGGUGCCAUCACGAGGAUGAACUUCUGGAUCCUAGCACCACAUAACAGGGAUGGCUUUGUUGGUGGCUCGACACACAAUACUCUGCCCGUUUUCUACAUCUCCCGGGGAGAUGAAGAGGGUGCUGACAAUGCUCUCACGUUUGCCAUCGCGAAGCAGAGUCUGCGGAGAGAGGUGGUGAAGGAAUAGAAGGUCUCGUGUUACUGAACUGAGAUGACCCGGGAGGGAAAGACAGACCUCCGGUCAGAGAAGCAAGAGCUGUGCAUGGCGAGUGUUGGGAGGGUUGGCUCAGGAGACCGGGGUCCAGUCACCAUUCAGACCUGGGGGAAUUCCCUUACAGUCUUGACCUGGUUGAAUGCUGGAUGGUGGAAGGAAAAAACAAAGGGACUAGAGAGAUCGCCGUGCUGUGUGAAAAACAGCCCAUACUUGCAUGUCAAAAGCUCAGCAGAAAUCAGGUUUAGCUGACUGGAAGCCAGACCUUGGAUAGAUUUGUUGCGAGGAAGAAGCAUCAUCUGUAUUUUGCAAGCCACUGCUGAGUUCAAAGUGAACUGCUGGGCAGAACAGGGACUCACACGUAAGACUGGGGAAACUGAGGCGGAGCGAUUAAGGCAACAUUAUGAUGUGAUGGGAGCCCGGCCUGCAGGCCGCCGCCGUUUGGACACUGCCACAGCAUCUAGAACAUGCAGAUGGUCAGGUGUGAGGACCCAGAGGACCGGCAACGGUCCCGACGGCUGUAUUUAUUGCAGGUUCAGUCUGCCAGGAAGCCUCCUUUGGAUGACCUUGGCUCCUGGGCUGUGUGUUUGCCUUUCCGGACGGCCUCACAGGGUGGCUCCACCCAGGACUUAUCUCCCAAGAGAAAGCGUUGUUCCUAGGGUGGAUUCUGGUCUAAGAGAAACCUUUUGUUUGGGGCUCUGGCCCCAGGAACUGCGUGAUGGAAGAGUUUGGAUCAGUCGCCCUCCAAAGGUCUCCUUUACCCUGAACGUUCUGCAAGAUGUAAACCCCGCUUGGGCCUGCAUAAAAGUCUCCUGGGGUAGUGUGAGGCACUGGUUAUUUCUGACCAUAUUCGUGGACAGUGAGGCCAACAGACGAAGGAGCCAUCGCCAUUGCAGAGACGGAUUGCUAUUCACCGUCCCCAAGAGGAGAGGCAUGGCAAACCAUGCCACACCAGGCUACUGGGAGUGGAGGGCUCUGUGUGAUGCACCUCUGCUGUGGUUAGUGGGGAAAGGGAUGGGAGGCAGGGUAGGGGCCACACAGCUUUUGGUUUGGAUAACUUGACUAGCAUUAGUGGGCGCUGGGCUGUAGAGGGAUCUGCUGUUUCUGAUUCCUGGUUUUGGAGAGACCACUCUAGACUCGAGACUCCAGGAGGCAGAGAAAGGCGAGCAUGGGGCUGUGGCCUCUAGAUGGGCCAAAGAGUGAACAGUAAGUUAACUCUUUCUGGGGACUGGUUAACCUGGGUCGGCUUCAUAUCCCAGGGUCUUUGAGACCACAAGCUGUCAAAACAUUAUAAAAGCCAGAAAACAAAGUAAAAGAGUAGUUACCACGAGGGGCAGUUCUGGGUGCCACUGCGUGAGUUAGAGACAGGUCCAUAGGCAAGUACAUCAGGGCAUGGAGCUUAGAUUAGCCUUCUGGGUCCCUGUUCUGGCAUCUCAUUAGGCAGCCGUGGAAAGCAGGCCAGAUUUUGCAAACUAAAACACAGGAUGGCCUAUUAACUUUUAACUUCAGAUGAACAAUGCAUAAUUUGUUAGCAUGGGUACAGUCCAUACAACACUUGGGAGAAAUAUGCUAAAAAAUUAACUUACUAUAUUUUCUGGAAAAAAGUCUUUUUCAAUUCAGACUCUUUUAACAACAAACAAGCAAACAAACAAACAGCUGUAAGCUGGACAGCAGCAGAACCACAGACGUUCAUUUCUUCCAGUUCUGGAGGGUAAGAAGCCCAAGACAGGGCAGACUGACUGUGAACGGCAAGGGUCAGACACCUGUCUGUAAGUGGCCAUCCUCUUACAAUGUCCGCACAUGGCGGAAAGGACAGAGUUCUUCUCUCUUGGGCCUCUUUUAUAAGGUCCCUAAUUCCAAUCGUGAAAACACCAUCCUCAUGACAUAACCACCUUCCAAAGCUCCAUUUCCACUCUCUUGGAGCUUACGGUUUCAACACCGGCGUUUCGGGGGUGGCACACAGUUAUUCAGAGGAGCACGCACUAGCUGUGGCAACUCCAGGCCCGGUUACUUCUGCCUCAAGUCUGCUCUUCUGACCGUAUCUUGCUCUGGGGUUUUUACAUAUAAUUAUGCUAGUCAGGGGGUAAGAUGAGGGGGGCAGAAGCAGGGAGGCUAGUGGGAGAAACAGUCUGAGAACUAAAGUGACCAAUAAAGCAAACAAACAAAACACAGGGAGAUAGCGAAACAACAGAGGCACUUCCACAUGGAGGAAGACAGAGCUGGUCCCCAUGUGCCCGACCCCUCCACCCUUGCCUCCCUUUAUCCUUUGUCCCACUGCCCAUUCCCCCGCCCGCAUCUCCUGCUCCCGCUCACCUUGGAGUAGGUGGCCCCGUUGAUGACCUCUCCUUUGCGCAGCCAGAUGAUGGAAGCUGCGGGCUUGGCGUUAUCCGCGUGGCAGGUCAGGUUGAGAGGGUCUCCUGCCCGAAGGCUGAUCACAGGCCCCCCUAGGAUGAUGGGGUCAUCGGGUGGCACUGUGGGGAGAGGAGCAGAGAGGUCAGGUUGGGGUAGGACUCUGCUUGACAUGGCAGAGGAUGAUAGCAAUAAUGGUUAUACUUUGAUAAAGAGCGUUGCCCUCUGUAUUACAAUGAUAGUAACAGUAAAAGGAUGUGUUGUUCUUCAUCUUUUGUGGCAGGAAUAAGCAUGUGUGAGCACAGGCAGGUGUCCCUAGCUAGUCUCACCGACCGGGAAGAAGUAGUCCUUUGCAACAGAGAUACCAGGGACCUGCAGGAUCUUUAUUUUCAACUUCAAAAAAAAAAAAAGAUUUAUUUUUAUUUCUUUUUAAAGAUGAUGAUGAUGAUUGUUGUUGCUAGGUUUUUCAAGACAGCGUUUCUUUGUGUAGUCCUAGCUGUCCUGGAACUUGCUCCGUAGACAAGUCUGGCCUCGAACUCACAGAGAUCCGCCUGCCUCUGCCUCCCGAGGACUAGGAUUAAAGGCGUGUGCCACCACUGCCUGGCCUAGGAUCUUAUUUUUUAGUUGUGUGUGUGCAUGCACCCGAGUGGCAGUGCUCACAGAGGCCAGAGGCAUUGGACCCCCUGGAGCUGGAGUGAUAGGCAGUUGUGAGCUGCCUGAUAGUUGUCUUGGGAACCAGACCCUGUUCUUGCAAGUGUAGUACCUGCUUUUAAUAAGUGAGUCAUUAAUCGGCCUCCACAUUUCUUUUCUUUUUGUUGCAUCUCUCACAAGAGUUUUGAAGGAAAAACACUAUUUUCAUCACAAUUACAUAGACCUGAAAACUGAGGGUCACCAAGGGACUUGCUCAAGGUCACAUGGUGAAAGUAUAGCAGAGUGGGGGCUGGGAGCUGCACCUUUGACCCUUGGUCAGCCUGGUCCCCUCCCUCAGGUGACAGGUGACAGGGAGGGUCUUUGGUUCUUUGGAGUUUCCACCCUGGCCUUUCCUGAGCUCUGUCCUUUAGAGUAGCUCUUGAACCCUGAUUCCCAUUCAGAAGGAGUUACUUUUCUUUUUCUAUAAGUAACAGUGUGGUUAGUGACUGGCAGUUCCAUAUCCAUAGUGCCAAAGGGGAACGGACAUGGGACUGUUCCCUUCCCUGUGGAGCAAGGUCCCUCCCUGCAGGGCCAACACUGAACUUCAUGCCUUGAAGCAUCUGCAGAGACACCUGCUGGCUCCAAUGAACCAUGUUUGAUUACCGUGAAGGCCACACUGUAGGAUGUACAGGAUUCUACAUCUAGAAGUUGCUGGGAAACACCCCCGAGCCUCAAUUCCUUCUGGGAUAGCCUUAAACCUGGAGCUUGUGACCAGCUUUUUUUUUUUUUUUU